rnacentral:rRNA from 1 species
CGUUAACAAGGGUUUCCGUAGGGUGAACCUGCGGAAGGAUCAUUC